GACGAACGCUGGCGGCGUGCUUAACACAUGCAAGUCGAACGGAAAGGCCCUGCUUUUGUUGGGUGCACGAGUGGCGAACGGGUGAGUAACACGUGAGUAACCUGCCCUUGACUUUGGGAUAACUUUAGGAAACUGGGGCUAAUACCGGAUAGGAGCUCCUGCUGCAUGGUGGGGGUUGGAAAGUUUCGGCGGUUGGGGAUGGAUUCGCGGCUUAUGAGCUUGUUGGUGGGGUAGGGGCUUACCAAGGCUUUGACGGGUAGCCGGCCUGAGAGCGUUACCGGCCACAAUGGGACUGAGGUACGGCCCAGAAGGCUACGGGAGGCAGCAGUGGGGAGUAUUGCACAAUGGGCGGAAGCCUGAUGCAGCAACGCCGCGUGCGGGAUGACGGCCUUCGGGGUGUAAACCGCUUUCGCAUGUGACGAAGCGUUAGUGACGGUAAUGGGUAAAAAAGCAACGGCUAACUACGUG
rnacentral:rRNA from 1 species